rnacentral:rRNA from 1 species
AACGAACGCUGGCGGCAUGCCUAACACAUGCAAGUCGAACGAGACCUUCGGGUCUAGUGGCGCACGGGUGCGUAACGCGUGGGAACCUGCCCUUAGGUUCGGAAUAACUCCCCGUAAGGGGUGCUAAUACCGGUUAAUGUCUUCGGACCAAAGAUUUAUCGCCUUUGGAUGGGCCGGCGUUGGAUUAGCUAGUUGGUAGGGUAAAAGCCUACCAAGGCGACGAUCCAUAGCUGGUCUGAGAGGAUGAUCAGCCACACUGGGACUGAGACACGGCCCAGACUCCUACGGGAGGCAGCAGUGGGGAAUAUUGGACAAUGGGCGAAAGCCUGAUCCAGCAAUGCCGCGUGAGUGAUGAAGGCCUUAGGGUUGUAAAGCUCUUUUACCCGGGAUGAUAAUGACAGUACCGGGAGAAUAAGCUCCGGCUAACUCCGUG